rnacentral:rRNA from 1 species
GACGAACGCUGGCGGCGUGCCUAAUACAUGCAAGUAGAACGCUGAAGGAGGAGCUUGCUUCUCCGGAUGAGUUGCGAACGGGUGAGUAACGCGUAGGUAACCUGCCUGGUAGCGGGGGAUAACUAUUGGAAACGAUAGCUAAUACCGCAUAAGAGUAGAUGUUGCAUGACAUUUGCUUAAAAGGUGCAAUUGCAUCACUACCAGAUGGACCUGCGUUGUAUUAGCUAGUUGGUGGGGUAACGGCUUACCAAGGCGACGAUACAUAGCCGACCUGAGAGGGUGAUCGGCCACACUGGGACGGAGACACGGCCCAGACUCCUACGGGAGGCAGCAGUAGGGAAGCUUCGGCAAUGGACGGAAGUCUGACCGAGCAACGCCGCGUGAGUGAAGAAGGUUGUCGGAUCGUAAAGCUCUGUUGUAAGAGAAGAACGAGUGUGAGAGUGGAAAGUUCACACUGUGACGGUAUCUUACCAGAAAGGGACGGCUAACUACGUG